GCUUGAGUUCCAGUGCUGACCUCCUUGGUGAUGAACAGCAGUAUGGAAGUGUAAGCUGAAUAAACCCUUUCCUCCCCAACUGCUUCUUGGUCAUGAUGUUUAUGCAGGAAUACAAACCCUGACUAAGACAACUGCUUAGCUAGGGAUGGCAUUUUUUUCCCUCUAUCUGUAUUAGUUCUUAUUUAUCUUUAUUCCUUCCCCUGUCUCAUUUAUGAUACAAAAUCACUGUGUGCCAUAACACUAAGAAGCACCCCAGCUUAUAGUGGUAGAAUUUUACCAAAACUCCAAGUGAACAGCAAAAAAUACACAGGUAAGCAUCUUGUGAACCUUAGUUUGUGUGCGUUAUGGAAAAGCCCUUGGUUACUCUUAGAAGGUUCUUUCUAUUAGUGACAAUGUGAAUUAAUAGAGACUUAAGUCUUACAAAGAAAUGAUAAUGUUCCAGACUUGGUCUCCUAGAGCCAAAUAUAUUUCAAAAUGUAUGGUUAAAAAGCAUGUUUCAUAUCCUUCUGAGUCAGAUUUUAUGAACCUAUAGAUUUGGGUUCAGGCCAAUAUUGUUUCCAAACAGUGAAAAAACUGAGUAUUUAGUACUUUCAAGAUUUCACAACUGCAAAAAAAAAAAAAAAAGGCUAAUUGAAUCACUCUUAGAUAUCAUAUUGAAUUGUAUUGUAUCAUAUUGUGUCAUGUCAUAUUGUAUUUAUUUACAGCCAGGAAUGCCUCUGCUUUCCUCCUAGAUGUUUCUUUGUAUUCUCAUAGAGAAGGUGCAGUAGGCUAUACAGGUUACAGAAGGUGAACGUGUUUUAUGUCCAAUGCACUAAAUGGCCACAGUUCAUAGAAAAAAAAAAGAAGAAGAAG
rnacentral:lncRNA from 1 species